AGUCACGCUGUAAACGAUGUCGAUUUGGAGUUUGUUGCCUAGAGUGAUGGGCUCCGAAGCUAACGCGAUAAAUCGACCGCUGGGGAGUACGGCCGCAAGGUUAAAACUCAAAUGAAUUGACGGGGGCCCGCACAGCGGUGGAGCAUGUGGUUUAAUUCGAUGCAACGCGAAGAACCUUACCUGGUCUUGACAUCCAUAGAAUUCUGCAGAGAUGUGGGAGUGCCUUCGGGAACUGUGAGACAGGUGCUGCAUGGCUGUCGUCAGCUCGUGUUGUGAAAUGUUGGGUUAAGUCCCGCAACGAGCGCAACCCUUAUUCUUUGUUGCCAGCGAUUUGGUCGGGAACUCAAAGGAGACUGCCGUUGAUAAAGCGGAGGAAGGUGGGGACGACGUCAAGUCAUCAUGGCCCUUACGACCAGGGCUACACACGUGCUACAAUGGCGUAUACGAAGGGAAGCGAAGGUGCGAGCUGGAGCGGAUCUCAUAAAGUACGUCUAAGUUCGGAUUGGAGUCUGCAACUCGACUCCAUGAAGUCGGAAUCGCUAGUAAUCGUAGAUCAGAAUGCUACGGUGAAUACGUUCCCGGGCCUUGUACACACCGCCCGUCACACCAUGGGAGUGGGUUGCACCAGAAGUAGAUAGCUUAACCGCGAGGGGGGCGUUUACCACGGUGUGAUUCAUGACUGGGGUGAAGUCGUAACAAGGUAACCA
rnacentral:rRNA from 1 species